rnacentral:rRNA from 1 species
UAUGAAGGGGGCUAGCGUUGCUCGGAGUCACUGGGCGUAAAGGGUGCGUAGGCGGGUCUUUAAGUCAGGGGUGAAAUCCUGGAGCUCAACUCCAGAACUGCCUUUGAUACUGAGGAUCUUGAGUUCGGGAGAGGUGAGUGGAACUGCGAGUGUAGAGGUGAAAUUCGUAGAUAUUCGCAAGAACACCAGUGGCGAAGGCGGCUCACUGGCCCGAUACUGACGCUGAGGCACGAAAGCGUGGGGAGCAAACAGG